UGCCAUCUGAUGGCACGUGUAUUCGACGGUUCACAACAUCGAUACCAUAAAGAGUCGAUACUUGCAACGAGAUCAAUUGUCGAUAAAUAUGAAACUGCUCAGUUUUCAUAUUACAUGCGAGAUGGCGCGUUAAAUCCGCACAAUAAUCAUUUUAUUAUUUCAUGCGCGCAUGCGUGCCGUUUAUAUUGUUCGCGCUAAUUUAGUCUCGGAGUCAGAGUCAUCGGAUUCCACAUUUUUUCAACGAAGGAUCAAAGUUAAAACCAGAAUAAUAAAAUAGAAAGUACGAAGCGCGUGCUCUGGCUUUCGGUCUAACGAGCGUGAGGUUAACCUAGGGAGGAGGGAUGUACGGAAAUAUCUAUUGGUCUAGGACUCGAAGACCUUCGAGCGAUGCACGGGGUCGUUUGAUCUGGAUGCGGGGCGUCGGGACGCAAGGUUACAGCGGUCGUCGGGUCAGCAACACCACGGCCGUCCCUCCCGCUUUUCCCUUUCCACCCUGGCUGCCAUCCCUCGUCCUCUCGCCGCCCUCGCCAAGCUCGAUGUAGAAUGUUUCUACGAAUGCUUCACCUGAUGGCUUCUGACACCAAUCAUCUGCAACUGUGUCUGCUGAGAGAUCAAUAUAGAUGUACUCUAACGUGAGUCACUUAUCAUUUUACUAUUCAUAACUAUAUAUACCAAUUAAACAAAAUUAAAGAGAAAAGCUCUCGAUUAUGACAAAGUCAAAAUAUAAAACACUACAAGCCAAUA